rnacentral:rRNA from 1 species
AUUGAACGCUGGCGGAAUGCCUUACACAUGCAAGUCGAGCGGCAGCACGGGGGCAACCCUGGUGGCGAGCGGCGAACGGGUGAGUAAUACAUCGGAACAUGCCCAGUCGUGGGGGAUAACACUUCGAAAGAAGUGCUAAUACCGCAUACGUCCUGAGGGGGAAAGCGGGGGAUCGCAAGACCUCGCGCGAUUGGAGUGGCCGAUGUCAGAUUAGCUAGUUGGUGGGGUAAAGGCCUACCAAGGCAACGAUCUGUAGCUGGUCUGAGAGGAUGAUCAGCCACACUGGGACUGAGACACGGCCCAGACUCCUACGGGAGGCAGCAGUGGGGAAUUUUGGACAAUGGGGGCAACCCUGAUCCAGCCAUUCCGCGUGAGUGAAGAAGGCCUUCGGGUUGUAAAGCUCUUUAGGCAGGAACGAAACGGUGAGCUCUAACAUAGCUUGCUAAUGACGGUACCUGAAGAAGAAGCACCGGCUAACUACGUG